rnacentral:rRNA from 1 species
GUGGGGAAUAUUGGACAAUGGGGGGAACCCUGAUCCAGCCAUGCCGCGUGUGUGAAGAAGGCCUUUUGGUUGUAAAGCACUUUAAGCGAGGAGGAGGCUACCGAGAUUAAUACUCUUGGAUAGUGGACGUUACUCGCAGAAUAAGCACCGGCUAACUCUGUGCCAGCAGCCGCGGUAAUACAGAGGGUGCAAGCGUUAAUCGGAUUUACUGGGCGUAAAGCGCGCGUAGGUGGCCAAUUAAGUCAAAUGUGAAAUCCCCGAGCUUAACUUGGGAAUUGCAAUCGAUACUGGUUGGCUAGAGUAUGGGAGAGGAUGGUAGAAUUCCAGGUGUAGCGGUGAAAUGCGUAGAGAUCUGGAGGAAUACCGAUGGCGAAGGCAGCCAUCUGGCCUAAUACUGACACUGAGGUGCGAAAGCAUGGGGAGCAAACAGGAUUAGAUACCCCUGUAGUCC